rnacentral:ncRNA from 1 species
GAAUGAAGUCGUUGGUGCAAACUGCACGUUGCGACUUUUGAGGAGCAAUCCUUAUUAAAAAACUUGGCUAUAUGCUGGAAAACCUGUGUAUCCGGAAGCUACUCGUGUUAAAAUAGAUUAAUAUGAGUAAAAAUGCUUUCGGUGCAGACAAUCAGCAGGGAAGUCUCCGCCAAAUGGCGGAUGACCCCUCAGAGACUACACGCCGAGCCCCAACAAAUUGUUGGGUGAAGAUAUAGUCCAUGCUUUAUAGCGAUAUAGAG